AUAGCGUAUAUUAAAGUUGUUGAGGUUAAAAAGCUCGUAGUUGAACCUUGGCCCUGGCUGGCUGGUCCGCCUCACCGCGAGCACUGGUCCGGCCGGGGCUUUCCCUCUGGGGAUCCUCAUGCCCUUCACUGGGUGUGUUGGGGAACCAGGACUUUUACUGUGAACAAAUCAGAUCGCUCAAAGAAGGCUCUCGCUCGAAUGCUUCAGCAUGGAAUAAUGAAAUAGGACGUGCGGUUUUAUUUUGUUGUUUUCUAGGACCGCCGUAAUGAUUAAUAGGGACAGUCGGGGGCAUCAGUAUUCAAUUGUCAGAGGUGAAAUUCUUGGAUCAAUUGAAGACUAACUACUG
rnacentral:rRNA from 1 species